UAGGGAAUCUUCCACAAUGGACGCAAGUCUGAUGGAGCAACGCCGCGUGAGUGAAGAAGGUCUUCGGAUCGUAAAACUCUGUUGUUAGAGAAGAACACGAGUGAGAGUAACUGUUCAUUCGAUGACGGUAUCUAACCNGCAAGUCACGGCUAACUACGUGCCAA
rnacentral:rRNA from 1 species